rnacentral:tRNA from 1 species
GCCUGGGUGGCUUAGUUGGUUAAGCAUCUGACUCUUGGUUUCAGCUCAGGUCAUGACCUCAGGAUCAUGAGAUCAAGUCCCAUGUCAGGCU